UGGGGAAUAUUGCACAAUGGGCGCAAGCCUGAUGCAGCCAUGCCGCGUGUAUGAAGAAGGCCUUCGGGUUGUAAAGUACUUUCAGCGGGGAGGAAGGGAGUAAAGUUAAUACCUUUGCUCAUUGACGUUACCCGCAGAAGAAGCACCGGCUAACUCCGUGCCAGCAGCCGCGGUAAUACGGAGGGUGCAAGCGUUAAUCGGAAUUACUGGGCGUAAAGCGCACGCAGGCGGUUUGUUAAGUCAGAUGUGAAAUCCCCGGGCUCAACCUGGGAACUGCAUCUGAUACUGGCAGGCUUGAGUAUCGUAGAGGGGGGUAGAAUUCCAGGUGUGGCGGUGAAAAGCGGAGAGAUCUAGAGGAAUAACGGUGGCGAAGGCGGCCCCCUGGACGAAGACUGACGCUCAGGUGGGAAAGAGUGGGGAGCAAACAGG
rnacentral:rRNA from 1 species